rnacentral:tRNA from 1 species
GUUACAGUCGCCUAAUGGAAGGGCUACAA